CACGGGGCCAGCGCAGGGCUCCUGGCCCCCCCAGGCCCCCGCCAAUGUCGCAGGCGGGUCUGGAGCACGGGGGCUCGUCUUCGGAGCAGCUCCGGGCUGAUCCGGUUUGAGGGUGCAGCCCAACUUCCCCUCGGGUCCCAGCCUUGGCAAUGUGUCUCUGGCAGCCGGGCGGCCGCGAGCCGCUGCCGUUUGCGAAGGUGCCGACCUCUCCGCCUCGCCCACGAGAGGAGACGCCUGGCACAGGCCCGCAGGGACGCCGCGGCCAGUGGGGAUCGGAAAGCCACUCGCUCGGGCAUUGCGCCUGCCCCCGAGAGCGGGCACUUGACCCAAGCCCACCGCUAGCAGAAGACCACGGUGGAGGGGCAAGACGCCCUGAUCUCCACGUGGCAGGCGAGGCGAUCUCCAUCCGUCACCUCCUGCCGCCUCACGUUGCCCGUGACCUCGGGGACGCCACACCACGGGCACGGGAGCUGCAGAGGCGCCAGGGGGAAGAAGGAAGGCCACAAGGGGAAUGGGCUUUCGCUGGCGCACGCAAAGGAGACGGUGGCGGGCAGGAGCCCCAGCUGGGAGCCGGGGGCGCCCGCCGCUCACCUCCGCUGCGGGCCUCCACGCAGAGGAGCAGCCGGUGCCUCCUGCUCAGCUGCUUCAGACGGUCCAGGCAGACACGGCAGGGCGAAGCCCCGGGCUCCGGCCGCAGCCGCGGGCAGAGCAGAACCGUCACGGGCAGCAGGUUCCUGUCGGAGCAGGGGGGGACAGCUUGGGCAGCGCCUGCCCCCCCGGCCGGGCCACCUCAUCCCCAGGCAGACAGGACCGGGAGCUGCCUCGCACUGGGAGCGCGAGGUGGGACGUGGAUCCGGGGAUGGCAGGCGCUCCCCAGCCCGUGCUCUUCGUGGCACGGCUGGUUUCGGGGUGCCGGGCAUUGCCAGCAAGCGCCCCCCCCCUCCUCGCACAGCCCAAAAUUACCAGUGGUGCUGGAAAAGCCGGCAGUGAAACGGUGGCUUCCAGUGCUGGCAGCCGUUCAGGUAGUAGCCGGCCAAAUGCUGGGUGACUUUGUGGCGGUACUCCAUGGCGGCCCCGCUCUGCGGCACGCGCCGGCCGCCCGCGGGAGCCCUUCGCCCGGGCGACCUUUGCGAGGGCCGGCGCAUUCCAG
rnacentral:lncRNA from 1 species